rnacentral:lncRNA from 1 species
GUGCUCCUGCGUUCCCUUGGUGUCACGCCAGCUUCACACCUCCGCAGAGCUGUCAAGGGGGCUCCCAUUUCCACCUAUGAUAAGUGCACCAUAUGAAAACCUGUUUCCUGGAGGCCUUUUUGAUGACAAGCUCCUGAGCACUGGGGGUCUCCAGCACAAACUCCUCGAGGUCCGCCUGGGCACUUGCAUGGGCAGAUUUUGGUGCUUUCCCAAUCUUCUUGGGACAAAGGUGCUGUCCCCAGAAGACAGUUGCCAUACUCUGAUUGACACAGAAACUGAAGCUGAGAAUGCCCACAAUAGCCUAACUGUGGAAAGAGCCGAGACGUCCAUCAACAGAUGACUGGCUAAGAGGGUGUGAUAUCCACGUACACAAUGGAAUAUUCCUCAGCCAUCAGAAUGGACGGAUACCUACCGUUUGCAUCAAUGUGGAUGGAACUGGAGGGCAUUAUGCUGAGUGACGUAAGUCAGUCAGAGAAAGACAAUUAUCUUAUGGUUUCACUCAGGUGUGGAAUAGAAGAAACAGCACAGAGGAUCGUAGGGGAAGGGAGGGAAACCUGGAUGGCAGUCAUCAGGGAGGGAGAAAAACCACGAGAGACUCCUAUCUAACUGUAGGAAACAACUGAGGGACUCUGGAAGGGAGGUGGGUGGAGGGGAUGGGGUCACUGGGUGACGGGCAUGAAGGAGGGCACGUGAUGGGAUGAGCACUGGAUGUUAUACAAAACUGAUGAAUUACUGAACUCAUGUCUGAACCAAUGAGGGACCAUAUGUUGGCUAAUUGAAUUUAAAUUAAAAAAAAAAAAAGAAGAAGAAGGAACUGAUGCCAAGAGAUGAAGUGUGCCUUCACAAAACCCUAACUUUUGGGAUCCCUGGGUGGCUCAAUCCUGGGAUCGAGUCCCACGUGGGGCUCCCUGCAUGGAGCCUGCUUCUCCCUCUGCCUGUGUCUCUGUCUCUCUCUCUGGGUCUCUCAUGAAUAAAUAAAUAAAAUCUAAAAAAAAAAAAAACA